GACGAACGCUGGCGGCGUGCUUAACACAUGCAAGUCGAACGGAAAGGCCCUGCUUUUGUGGGGUGCUCGAGUGGCGAACGGGUGAGUAACACGUGAGUAACCUGCCCUUGACUUUGGGAUAACUUCAGGAAACUGGGGCUAAUACCGGAUAGGAGCUCCUGCUGCAUGGUGGGGGUUGGAAAGUUUCGGCGGUUGGGGAUGGACUCGCGGCUUAUCAGCUUGUUGGUGGGGUAGUGGCUUACCAAGGCUUUGACGGGUAGCCGGCCUGAGAGGGUGACCGGCCACAUUGGGCCUGAGAUACGGACCAGACGCCUACGGGAGGCAGCAGUGGGGAAUAUUGCGCAAUGGGCGGAAGCCUGAUGCAGCAACGCCGCGUGCGGGAUGCCGGCCUUCGGGUUGUAAACCGCUUUCGCCUGUGACGAAGCGUGAGUGACGGUAAUGGGUAAAGAAGCACCGGCUAACUACGUG
rnacentral:rRNA from 1 species